UGCCAGACUCCUACGGGAGGCAGCAGUGAGGAAUAUUGGUCAAUGGGCGGGAGCCUGAACCAGCCAAGUCGCGUGAGGGAAGACGGUCCUAUGGAUUGUAAACCUCUUUAGGCGGGGAGCAAUGCCGGGCACGCGUGCCCGGAGGGAGAGUACCCGCAGAAUAAGCAUCGGCUAACUCCGUGCCAGCAGCCGCGGUAAUACGGAGGAUGCGAGCGUUAUCCGGAUUUAUUGGGUUUAAAGGGUGCGUAGGCGGAAUAUCAAGUCAGCGGUAAAAAUUCGGGGCUCAACCCCGUCGUGCCGUUGAAACUGAUGUUCUUGAGUGGGCGAGAAGUAUGCGGAAUGCGUGGUGUAGCGGUGAAAUGCAUAGAUAUCACGCAGAACUCCGAUUGCGAAGGCAGCAUACCGGCGCCCAACUGACGCUGAAGCACGAAGGCGUGGGUAUCGAACAGGAUUAGAUACCCUCGUAC
rnacentral:rRNA from 1 species